CAAUUUUGCACUUUCUAGCACAGAAUCAUGAGCCAACACUUUGAAAACUUCUUCAGGAAGAAUGAAGAUAACUGAUGCCAUUCCUUGGAACUUCAGACCAUUGCUGGGCUUUGUGUUGCCUCAAGAGAAAGCAUGGAUAAGAGAAGGGCAAGCUUGUUCACCUCAUCACAGGAAAAAUAAUUGCCAGAAACUUGUCAAGUUUCAAGUUCUAUUUCCUACGUAAAACCCCUGACUACCACCCUUCUCUUAACUUACAUGACAUUUUCUCUCUCUUAGUGCAUACACUAGUCAUAUUCAUCUUGUUUCUGUUUCUUAAGUGU
rnacentral:lncRNA from 1 species